rnacentral:rRNA from 1 species
UACGUAGGGGGCAAGCGUUGUCCGGAUUUAUUGGGCGUAAAGAGCGUGUAGGCGGCCAGACAGGUCCGUUGUGAAAACUCGAGGCUCAACCUCGAGACGCCGAUGGAAACCGUCUGGCUAGAGUCCGGAAGAGGAGAGUGGGAAUUCCUGGUGUAGCGGUGAAAUGCGCAGAUAUCAGGAAGAACACCCGUGGCUAAGGCGGCUCUCUAGUACGGUACUGACGCUGAGACGCGAAAGCGUGGGGAGCGAACAGG